AUUGAACAAUGUAGGCAAGGGAAGUCGGCAAAACGGAUCCGUAACUUCGGGAAAAGGAUUGGCUCUGAGGACUGGGCUCGGGGGUCCCGGCCCCGAACCCGUCGGCUGUCGGCGGAUUGCUCGAGCUGCUCACGCGGCGAGAGCGGGUCGCCGCGUGCCGGCCGGGGGACGGACCGGGAAUCGCCCCUUCGGGGGCUUUCCCCGAGCAUGAAACAGUCGACUCAGAACUGGUACGGACAAGGGGAAUCCGACUGUUUAAUUAAAACAAAGCAUUGCGAUGGUCCUCGCGGAUGCUGA
rnacentral:rRNA from 1 species